CGGCGGUGCGCGUGCCCGGUGGGGCGCCACGCGCACGCUCCGACCCCGCCGCGCCCGGCGCUGGCACCUCCUCCAGGAAGCCCUCCCGACGCCCCGGCUGAGCCAGUCGUUUCCGAGUUCUCCGGCCCCUGAUGGGGACGUCUGCGCCCCUCUUCUCAGGCCAGAGGUUGUGCUACGAGCCAAGGACUGGCUGCCAGGAGCUCCUGGGGGCACCGCAGUGUGGGCCACCAGCUUGGAAGCAGAGGUCCCACCAGAUCUAGCGCUCAAUAAGGAGCAGCAGCUGCAGAUCUCCAAGGAGCUGGUCGACAUUCAGAUCACAACCCACCACCUACAUGAGCAGCACGAGGCUGAAAUCUUCCAGCUGAAGAGUGAGAUCCUUCGGCUGGAGAGCCGGGUACUGGAGCUGGAGCUGCGAGGAGAUGGCACCAGCCAGGGCUGUGCAGUCCCAGUGGAGUCUGACCCCAGGCACCCCCGGGCAGCAGCCCAAGAGCUCAGACACAAAGCCCAGGUGCCUGGACACUCUGAUGACCACAGAUUCCAGGUGCAGCCCAAGAACACCAUGAAUCCCGAGAAUGAGCAGCACAGGCUGGGGAGCGGCCUGCAGGGGGAAGUGAAGCGGGUGCUGGAGCGUCAGGAGGCCUGGCAGCAGGCACUGGUGACGCGUGUGUGAGUGGCCAUCUCACCUGGGGCCCCAUCCUGGAGCAGAGAGAACCCCUGAUCGUGGGCCUGCUGAGCCUCACCCC
rnacentral:sRNA from 1 species